CAAGGCAGGAGGAUCACUUGAGCCCAGGAAUUCAAGAUCAGCCUGGGCAACAUAACAGGACCCUGUCUCUACAAAUUAAAAAAAAAAAAAAAUUUAUAUUAUGCUAAGUAAAAGCCAAUCAUAAAAGAUCAGGUAUUUUAUGAUUUCAUGUAUAUGAAAUGUCCAGAAUAAGCAAAUCUAUAGGCCACAAAGUAGAUUAGUGGUUACCUAGGUAGAAGCAGGGGAUAUGAGGGACUGCUAAUGAGUAUAGGGUUUCUUUUGGUGAUGAUGAAAUGUUCUAAGGUUAUAUGGUGGUGACAGCUGCACAACUCUGUGAAUAUACUAAAAAAUACUGAACUGUACACUUUAAAUGAAUAAAUCAUGAUAGUUGAAUUAUAAUCUCAAUAAAGCUAUUGGCCAGGUGCUGUGGCUCACACCAUUAAUCCAGCACUUUGGGAGGCUGAGGCACAAAGACUGCCUGAGGCCCAGUGUUCAAGACCAGCCUGGGCAAACAGAUUCUAUUUCUACCAAAAAUAAAAAAAAUUAGCCAGGUGAGGUGGCACAAGCCUGUAGUCCCAGCUACUUAGGAUGCUGAAGCGGGAGCAUCACUUGAGCCCAAGAAUUUAUGAUCACACCACUGCACUCCAGCCUGGGCAACACAGUGAGACUCUCUCUCAAAAAAUAAAACAUUAAAAAGCUGUAUCAUGUUAAAGUAUAACAGUGAAGGAACCAUUUCUUGUGAUUUAUUCUUUUUUUUUUUUGAGACGGAGUCUCGCUCUGUUGCCCAGGCUGGAGUGCAAUGGUGAGAUCUCAGCUCACUGCACCCUCUGCCUCCUGGGUUCAAGCAAUUCUCCUGCCUCAGCCUUCCCAGUAGCUGGGAUUACAGGCGCCCACCACCACACCCAGCUAAUUUUUGUAUUUUUAGUAGAGACGGGGUUUCACCAUGUUGGCCAGACUGGUCUUGAACUCCUGACCUCAGGUGACCUGUCCACCUCAGCCACCCAAGGGCUGGGAUUACAGCCAUGAGCCACCCAGCCCAGCUCAUCCUCACGAAUUUCAAACAGAUGCCUUGUAAAUGAACUUUUAAUGUGAACUCUAAAUGUAAACUUAAAGUGUACAAUUGUUGGUUGUUCUAUCAGGCCCCUUCCCUCCCCCGCCAAAAAGUCAAUACUUUCAGAAAGAUCUCUUAUCAUUUGUGUAUAAUUUAAACAAAUCUAAAGAUUCUUUCUACAGGUUAUUCCAUCUCCCACCCUGAAACAGAACAUGAGUUAGUAUUUACACCUGCAUGGAAAACAUUGUACACUGUAUUUUCAUUGAGAAAUAUGUAGUCCUUCUUUUUUUUUUUUUUUUUUUUUUGAGACGGAGGCUCACUCUGUCGCCCAGGCUGGAGUGCAGUGGCACCAUCUCAGCUCACUGCAAGCUCUGCCUCCCGGGUUCACGCCAUUCUCCUGCCUCGGCCUCCUGAGUAGUUGGGACUACAGGUGGCUGCCGCCACGCCCGGCUAAUUUUUUGUAUUUUUAGUAGAGAUGGGGUUUCACCGUGUUAGCCAGGAUGGUCUCGAUCUCCUGACCUCAUGAUCCGCCCACCUUAGCCUCCUAAAGUGCUGGGAUUACAGGCGUGAGCCACCAUGCCCGGCCAAGAAAUAUGUGGUCCUUUUACUUUCCCAGUGAAAUGGUUCAGUGAUAAGUCUGUGGGGGGAAAAAAGGCUCAGUGUGAGGUAAGUAUCAAUCAGCACCUUCUCACUUCCUUCAUCUCUUUUUCUUGAGACAGUCUCACUCUGUUGCCCAGGCUGGAACGCGGUGGGGCAAUCACGGCUCACUGCAGCCUCUACCUCCCCAGCUCAAGCAAUCCUCCCACCUCAGCCUUCUGUGUAGCUGGGACCACAGGCACAUGCCACCAUGUCCCGCUAAUUAAAUUUUUUUUUUUUUGGUAGAGAUGGGGUUUUGCCAUGUUGCCCAGGUUGGCCUCGAACUCCUGAGUUCAAGUGUUCCUCUCGCCUCAGCCUUCUGAGUAGCGGGACAGGCAUGCACGCCUAGCUAAUUUUUUAAUUUCUCGUGCAGAUGGGGCUGUUCUGAACUGGCCUCAAGCGAUCUUCUUGCCUCAGCUUCUCAAAGUGCUCGGAUUACAGGCAAAAAAAAGCCACCACACCCGUCCUGAUUUUCAGAAUAUUAAGUAGCUCAGUUUCAGUAUUCCAGAGUUGGUUUUUACACAGGUAGGACGCUAGAUUAUUCCUAUGUAACAUGUAGAUAAGGCAUUGAUAAAAUAUAUCAUAUGUGGCCUGGCAGGGUGGCUCACGCCUGUAAUCCCAGGACUUUGGGAGGCCAUGGCAGGCGCAUCAUCUGAGACCAGCCUGGCCAAUGUGGCAAAACCCUGUCUCUACUAAAAAUAAAAAUAGAAAAACUUAGCCAGGUAUGGUGGCGGGCGUCUGUAAUCCCAGGUACUCGGGAGACUGGGGCAGGCAGAACUGCUUGAACCCAGGAGGGAGAGGUUGCAGUGAGCCGAGACUGGGCCACUGCACUCCAGCCUGGGUGACAGAGUGCGGCUCCGUCUCAAAAAAGUAUCAUGCUAUCUCAUAUCAAGUAUGUGUAAGUGAUGUGCCAAACAAAUUGCUACUGGCAGGCUGAGGUAUGCGGACCACUGGAGCCCAGGCUGCAGUGAUCAUCAUGCCUGUGAACAACCACCGCACUCCAGCUUGGGCAACAAAGCAAGACCCUUUCUCUAAUGGAGUGUAGGGGAGGAGGAAGAAGAGGAGGAAGGGAAUUCAAGAACCCAAAGUUACCGGGUGCAGUGGCUUACGCCUUUAAAAUCCCAGCACUUUGGGAGGCCAAAGCGGACAGAUUGCUUGAGCCCAGGAGUUCAAGACCAGCCUGGGCAACACGGAGAAACCCAUCUCUACAAAAAAUAGAAAAAUCAACCAGGCAUGGUGGUGUGCGCUUGUGGUCCCAGCUACUUGCUUUUUCUUUUCACUGGGCAAAUGAAUGUUGAGAAGAAAAACUAAGGAAAUACUAUAUAUAAGGAAUAAUUGCUCAUGUUCAACUCACCGUUUCCUCAAUUUAAAAAAAGUGUGUGUGUGUGUGUGUGUGUGUGUGUGUGUGUGUAAACGGGGGGCUCUCACUAUGUUACUCAGGAUGGUCUCAAACUUCUGGGCUGAAGCGAUCCUCCCGCCUCAGCCUCCCGAAGUGCUAGGAUUACAGGCCUGAGCUACCGUGACCGGUCCCCGUUUCCUCAACAGAGGUUAAAAAGCUCGUGCUCUGGCCGGGCACGGUGGUUCACGCCUGUAAUCCCAAAACUUCGGGAGGCCAAGGCGGGCGGAUCACCUGAGGUCAGGAGUUCGAGAUAAGCCUGGCCAACAUGGUGAAACCCCGUCUCUAACUAAAAAAGAUACAAACAUUAGCCAGGCGUAGUGGUGGGAACCUGUAAUCCCAGCUACUCGGGAGGCUGAGACAGAAGAAUCGCUUGAACCCAGGAGGCAGAGGUUGCAGCGAGUGGAGAUCGCGCCACUGCACUCCAGCAUGAGCAACAGAGUGAGACUCAGUCUCAAAAAACAAACAAACAAACAAACAAAAAACAAACACGUGCAGUCUCAAAAAACAAACAAACAAAAAACAAACACGUGCUCUGGAAGAGGCAACCGAAUGCGCAUUAGAAUCCCCCUAGCAUUUAGUCACGCGUUCUUAUUUCAUUUUUUAAAACAGCGAUAAUACCAACCAAGUAGAAUUACCAAGAGGAUGAAAUUGGGUAAUGUUUGUAAAGCAUUCCACACAAUCCCUAGCAUAUUAGGAGUAGCCUGGGAGAGAUGAGCAUUCUCUAUGUAACACAGAAGGCCCGAAUCCUCUGGAGAGUUAAGGCCUCUCAAUUAGCUGUCAGGGGACCAGCAGGCCACGCCACAUAUUUUCCUUAUUUGGCAAGUCUUCCAUUUUCAGUCUUUUCAUCCACAAAACCGAGAUGGAUGAAAAAUGCCUACGAAUCCGCCGUUCUUACGUCCCAGGCUUGUCGUGAGGAUCAAUGGGACAAGCGGCGUGAACCGACCAGGGCCCAUCAAGUCCGAGAAGCCCCGGGGGGCAUAUGGAGGGACGCCGGCCCCCUUAACGGGCCCAAGGCCGGGACUGCGGCCGCCCCC
rnacentral:lncRNA from 1 species